CCAAUUUUCCCUUGUGGAUAGACCCCUAGAAAAUAAUGUCAUAUUUGAUUAAUUCUAUCAUUUUUGCAUUUGUGGUAUGUGUGAGAAAUCGUAUUUAUAUUUGUAAAUCAACCGACCUUAUCAGAAGCGCUUUAAGUUCUUAGUCUCUGGUGGAUUGUGGAUCGCCUAUCAGUAGCAGAACUUCCUGGGGUGGUUGGAAAUAUGCAGAUUUCUGUUCUGUCAGCCCCAAGCUGUGAAUUAAAUUGUGGGAUCUGGCUGAGAAAUCUUCAUUUCUAAAGGUAUUGAAUGAUUUUUUGGUCUACUUUUAUAUAUAUAUAUAACUGUUCUUAAUCUAGAAGAAAUAUAAGCAUAACUUUUAGAUAUACUAUAUAAAUAUAUAUUUACAGAUAUAUAUAUGAUGUGUAGUUGAAGUAUUAAUUUACAUUUGAAUUAAUAUAUAUUACAUAAGAAUUUCAGGAAUGCUUGCCAUUCUCACUUAGCUUUAUACUGACCAAGAGACCUGAGAGGAUUUCUCAUGCCCAUUAAUUGCUGAUAUUCUAAACCACUCACUGAAGGCCUCGUUGGAGUCUGUGUUAGUUUCCUGUGGCCACUGUAAAAAUUACCACACAAUUGGUGGCUUAAACAACAUAAAUUUCUUCUCUUACAGUUUUGGAGGACAGAAGUCUAAAAUCAAGGUGGUAUGUUCUGAGGUUCAUGUCCCCCCAGAAUUCACAUGUUGAAACUCUGCCAUCUAAAGCGAUGGUAUUAUUUCCUCUGGAAGGUAAUUCCGGUCAGAUGAGGUCAUGGGUGGAGCCGCAUGAAUGGUGUUAGUGCUGUUGGAAGAACCAUGGGGACCCUCCUCUCCGUGAGAGGAUACAAUGUGAAGUCAGCAGGCUUCAACCCAGGAGAGGGUUUACACCAGAACCUGACCGUGCUAGCACCCUGAUUUUGGGCUUCCAGGCUCCAGAACUACGAGAAAUAAGUUUCUGUUGUUUUUAAUGUUGAAAGUUUAGCUAAACUGCUCCAUAUUGUUGCCUCAGCAUCCAUUUUGUGUGGUUACGUAGCCUCCAGGGGCCUUGAACUGCGUAGCCCCUCCCUAGAGCGCAUGCCUUAAAGAACAGCCUGCAGAGUCACAGGUGAGUCUAAUUUCCUGAUAAGCCCCUGGUAAUAAAUAGUCUCCCCUGAUUCCCAGCUCCUUCUCCUGGCUUGUGCCUUAGGUAAGACCCCCACGCAACUUACCAAAGCUCUGCUCUUUCUGGUUUGAAGCGACCAAUCCAGCCUUAGCCUGGGAACCCCAAAACAUUCUACCCUUGGACUCUAAUAAAAGCGUAUGUCCCAGAUCCUGCUGCUCAUACUCUGCCUGCACCCUGCCUUGACCUCCCUGUGUGGCUCCUCGAGAUACCUCCUCCAGGACCUGGGAAGAGUUAAAAUUGUGUUGGAUUUUCAAAGCAACAUGUGGACCAAUGAACCAUGAACUGCAGCACCCCAUGCUUGGGACUCAGCACCCUACCACACUGCCUGACCCUCUCCAAUCCAUUAGAAGCAAGCUGCUUCUCACUGCUCCAACUCUUAACAGGCCUAUUAAAUUUUUUUCCAGGAACCACAUCUAACCACACCCCUUCAAAUCAUCUACCUGCAAAGAAGGAGGGGAAACCCAGAUGUCAGCAGAACAGAGGAGCGGAAGGAUAUUGGAAGAGCAGCAGUUAUAGCAUCUCAAAGAGCGAGUGUUAUGGACAAGAGCCCCGGCGAAGGCCACUGUGCCGUGUGACACCUCCGAUGCCUCAUUUAGAGGGAUUUCAAAAGGAUUAAAUAAUUGUGAUUUUGGUCCUCUUGGUUUCUCUGAUGCUGCUGGGGCUCCCAUUUGCCUGAAGGGGCAUUCCUGUGAGUCAGCAUCCUCUCUAAUCAACAUGUUGCAGAAAAGUGUUUACACACAACAUCCAGAGAAGAGGUGGGAUGCCUACCACAGCAUGGCAUGCCUAGCGGUGCCAUGUCCGCAGCCGGGAUCUGAACUGGCGAACCCUGGGUCUCUGAGAAGUGGA
rnacentral:lncRNA from 1 species